ensembl:lncRNA LINC01622 long intergenic non-protein coding RNA 1622
GAAGCCCUCCUUGAUUGCUGGGCCCUGGUUGAACUCCUUAUUAGUAACACCCAGGUUAGUCCUACUUAAUUCUUACCUGCAGCCAAAGUGGACUUAGCAUCUCCUUGCAUGCCUGGUAAAGUCAAGGGUUUUCAGCCAGGGCCUGUGUAUAAAGCAGAAGCAGCACAGAGUCUGGUUUGAAGCUUAGUGCUUGGGUUCAGACAGUUGUGGGUUACAAUCCCUUCUACACAUGUUCUCUGUGGAAACCAUUUGGUUCUCUGUGCUUGGAACUCGCCUGCAACGGGACAAAGCCAUCUCACCUAGACUGUUGUUAUGAAGAUUGAAUUAGGUGAUUCUGAGAGGCAUUUAUGCGUCCUCCCUGAGUAACAAUCCAUGAAAAGUGGGCGUCAUUGCUGAAGCUCAAGGAAGAAAUAUGAAAUUUGAUUAUAUCCUUAUUCACGGCAUUGGGUCACCAACUCAGCACUUUUUAUGAAAGUAGCAUCUGACCUGGCAAAGGCUGUGUCAUCUUAUUACCUCAGAAAGACAAAUUUACGGGGUCAGACGAUGGAUGGCUUGUAGAUUUCUCAAUGGGCUGGAAGGAAGGAGAGAAAAAGAGAGACAGGAGAGAGUACACAUUUAAUUCUGCUUCCCCUAGGGUGAUAUUUCCUUCCUCCCCUUCCAGGGUUCUCAAAAAGGCAUUCUAGGAAGUCCUGUAAAAUACAUGCUCAUAAAAAUCUCAUAAUUUCCACAAAUUGUUGAGAAUUUAAAACUCGGUUGGGAGUUUGCUGUUUCAGCCUGAGACACCGGGGUCACGUUUCAGUGCCUGCAGUCUUGAGACAGUACCAGGCAUCUGGGAUGAAGCUGAGGAAAGAAGAUGUGGGGGCCCUGCUGGCCUGCUCCUUCUCUCGAAAGACGCUUACCGGCUGCUGGUGUGUCACAGGGCUUUAGGAUUUGGAAAAACAGAGGGAUUUAAAAGAAGAUAGAAUGGUCAGAAUUUCGAGAACUGUGUGCUGAAGUGCCAUCUUUAGGGUGCUCAUAACACGGCCUUACAACAUUAGAGGUGCUGGAAUCAUGGAAGAGGCAUCUGGACUCUGUAAUGUCCUUCCCCCUGGAAAAUCUGCUCCAGAAGUGGGGGAUUGGGAGCUGUCAACAUAUGAGCCAUCUUUUGCUCCGUUCAAGAUGGUAGGGGCAUUCUCAACAUGCCCCUCACUCUGAUUCUGCCUCACUUUUAUUUUAGAAUUUUCCACUGCCUUUUCUGGAAUGUGCUUUUUCAACCCUCAAAAUCUGUAGAGAAGAAAUAAGCAGAAACCGAAAUGGCUUUCUGGUGUUCUCCAUGCUCUCAGCUUACUGGAAAAUCGAGCCGCAGGCUCGAGGCUGGACUUUAAGGCAGAGCACUGCAAUUAUAGUGCUAUGGCCUUGGCUUCCUUUCUCAUCACCCAGGUACAGUCCUGCAGUCCUCAGAGGAUGCCAGUCCCACACAGGGGGAUCCUUCUCCAUAGGAAAACCGAGGAACAAUGCAGGUUCGAGGUGCACAGUGGCUAAGCACACUCAGUCCUCAAGAUCUUUCCUCUCAAAUGCUAAUGCUACCUUCAGAUGGGCUGCUGCCUGCUACCAUUUCAACAUUGAGUCCUUUAAGAUGCCAUCAGAGAGAGGGGAAGCAAGAGGCCAAGAAAAAUGAAAGGCCCUGCAUGUUUUUCUUCGGGAAGGCUGUGCAGUCUGCUCUGAGGAGACAGAUCAACCUAGCCCUUCUCCAGGACGAACUCCGAAAACCACAGGAAUUCACGUUCAAAGGAUGACGCAUCUCAGAAUCAGUGAAUUUUAGGAAAAUGACUCGAUAACUGCAACGGUGAUGUCAUGUGUGUGUCUACUUUAGAGAGCAGAUGGUCGAUCUGGUGCUAAUUUGCCCAAUACGGUAGCUACGCGGCAAUGAAAUUCCAAAACUGGCACAAGGCGGGCCUGGUUCCAGGGAUCACUGGAUCUAAAAGAAAAAAAUCCAAUGAAUGAUGCAUCCCACUGGCAUUCCAAAGAGCAAGUAAACAAAAGAAAUUAUGGGUUUGGGCUCAGAAACCCCAACCCUUGAGAUUUCAGAAAACAAAACGACUCAUUGGCAAGAGGCACUGUAACGACUCAGGUUCAAAUCCCACCUCUGUUAUUUACCAAUUGCAUAACUUUCAGCUUCAGUGUGACCUGACCCUGAGCUUUCCAAUCCAAAAAUAGAAGUAAUGUCUAUGUCA